CGUGUACCCAAGGGGAGGGUGGAGCGGAGUCGCGUGGUGGAUGGAGGGCGUUAUCCUGCCAAGGGUGUUGGUGAUGGUUUACUUCAUUAAGUGCAUAGCUGUGGACUAUCAGGACAAGAUUAUGACUGAACUAGAGAGGAGAACAUCACCCAGAGAUCUUGGACUUGGAGCUGGAUGCAAGAACUGAUGAGACUCUGAAUUUCCCCUUUUGGGGAGUCUAGGUGGACUAGGC